rnacentral:rRNA from 13 species
UACCAUGCUGAAAUCAUCACUUCUCGUCCGAUCACCGCAGUUAAGCAGUAUCGGGCGCGGUCAGUACUUGGGAGGGGGAACAC